rnacentral:rRNA from 1 species
UACGGAGGGGGCGAGCGUUAUUCGGAAUUAUUGGGCGUAAAGGGCGCGUAGGCGGCUGUACAAGUCAAAGGUGAAAUCCCUCGGCUCAACUGAGGAACUGCCUUUGAAACUGUACGGCUUGAGGCCGGGAGGGGGUAGCGGAAUUCCCAGUGUAGCGGUGAAAUGCGCAGAUAUCAGGAAGAACACCCGUGGCUAAGGCGGUUCUCUAGUACGGUACUGACGCUGAGACGCGAAAGCGUGGGGAGCGAACAGG